rnacentral:rRNA from 1 species
UGAUAAGCUACUAAGGGCCUAGGGUGGAUGCCUAGGCGCCAGGAGAUUGAAGGACGUGGUUACCUGCGAUAAGCCACGGGAAGUCGGAAGCUGACGUUAUACCCGUGGAUCUCCGAAGGGGAAACCCGGCUGGACCUUAAAUCCAGUCACCGCCGGUUGAAUUCAUAGACCGGUUGGUAAUACACCCGCUGAAGUGAAACAUCUCAGUAAGCGGAGGAAAAGAAAGCGAAUGCGAUUCCGUGAGUAGCGGCGAGCGAAAGCGGAACAGGCUAAACCAGCGAGGCUUGCC